UCGCGCCGCUGGGACCCGCUGCCAGACAUGCCCCUGCAUUCUCACGACAGGUUCACUCGUUCAUUGAUAUUCAUUUCGGUGACCCCCCUUGCAUUGUGUGAACUGGGAACAGACACUGAAAUCAUUAGACUUGACAGGCUAGAUACGUUACACCCUACCGUCUCCCCUCACUCCCCUGCCCGUCACCCUAUAGGCACCCCUGCAGAGAGAGUGGGAGAGAGACGGGGAGAGACAGUCGCAGUGCCAUAGACAGUGAUACAUCUACCCUCUUGGAUUAUGUCGGAUGACCAGCAUGACCGUUCAGUGGAUUACGCGAGCCUGCCGCUACGAUCAAAGGACCCCGCAGAGGCCGGGCCGCCCCCGCCCCGCUGCCCCCGCCCCGGUUGCCGCCUCCAUGCACACCGCAGACGUUCGGGUCCGUGGCGCCGGGGCCGCCGCUCCAGGUGCCGCCUGCUAGUCCAGCGCGCGGCCGCCGCCCCCGCCGCCCCCGCCCCCCCCGCCCCGCACGCGCCCCCGCCGCCACCGCCCUCGCGGCCUGGCCAUGGCGACAGCGCCCGCCCCCCAGAGGCCGCCGCUGAGGGGGCAGUAGGCCCCCGCCGCCCCCUCUGCCGCCGCCGCCUGCACCGCUCGGACUCCGCACUCAACGUCACCACCAUGCCGGGAGGGUUCGAGAACUCCGCGAUGAAGAGCUCGUUCUCGCUGUCUUCGCUGGGGCCGGCCCUGGGACCGGAGCUGGCGGCACGGCUGCAACGGCCAUACGACUCGCUAACAAAGAAGCGCAGGACCCGGGACCCCGAGCAGGAGACCUGGAGGAGGUCCUGGGGCGGCAAGGACGAGUUCUGGGCGGCACUGCAGAGCGACUACGACUACCUGAUGGACAGCCACCUCAUCGACACCUGCAAGGAGGCCAGCGGGGACUUGUCCGUCUAUACGUCGGGGUCCAGCCGGGGCUCCAGCAGAGACGAGGACUGGAGCUUUGCUCAGCUAAGCGCACACUUCUUGGAACUCUAUUCCUGGUUGAAUAGUAUCCAAGAGGCAGUGUACGGCAAGGAGGAGACAGUGGCGGACCGAGCGCUGCGGACGAGCCACAUGGAGCGUCUGCAGCGCGAGGGCUUCAGACGGCGGCUGUUCAACGAGCAGUCGGGCCGCCUGCUGCAGCGCUGCCCUGAGCUCACCGAGGAGGUGAGCUGGCGGGCGCAGCACCUCAACGCCAAAUGGGACACCCUGGAACGCGCCAUGGACAGCCCGAGAGAGCUAGGUGCCGACGUGGAGCACGAGGUCCGCUGCCUGCGGCGGUGGGUGCGGGAGAUGGAGGGGCGCCUGCAGCCGUUGGACCUGCGCGUCGGGAGCAGCUGGGGCUACCAGGAGCUGCAGCAGAAGGCCAAGGAGUACCUGGGAACGGGUGGGGGUCCCGAACGUGGCUCUGGCCCGUGUGCCGCUGGAGCUGCAGCUCUACAUUGUGCUGGUCUAGAUAUUGACGGAGAUAACGCUCGGUUUCACGGGAUCGUCUGCGCCAUCGGGUUGGUGGCUGGGGCUGGAGCUGGAGCCGUCUCUACUUUCGCUUUUUGAGGUCGCCUCUCCGUUUGGCUGUUCGGGCGGGCUCGUGUGCAUGCGUUUCCGCGCGUUCUUCGCCCUGCGUCCAUACGCACGAUACGACGCACCCUACAGUUGUCCGCUGCGUCGAAAAACGUCGGUCGGCUAAGUGAAGUAAUUUUUCCACGUGGACCGCAUGACACGACAAACUCCGUUCGCCGUGGAAAAAAAUAAUUGUAGGUUUUAAGGGUCCACGAACGGUAUAAUGAAAUUUAAAAUUGUAAAACUACAAAGCACCGCGUAACGACUUGAAAUUUAUUCGACGAGCAAGAAUGAGCUGUCGUUAAUCAACUAAAAUACUUUGUAAAUAGUAAAUUACAAAAAGAGAUACUGUAAAUCUACGAGAAAAUUUUUCACACUGUUGCUCUGUACUACAAAGCUAUGCUGUAUUUUCUAUUUGAAUGCCACUGCUCGCGUUUUUUACGAACGUUCUACGUUCAAGCGUUUGCACCCCCUCUUUUUUGAGGUCGGCUAUACCAGAUAAAUUCUGGAAUUUGACUCUGUACACUCGCGUCGUGUUGGAUGGAUGGUUUGUAUAACAUUCGCAUAUCUGCACAGCGGACACCGAGGAGGUUGGGCAGCGUUUCACUUUACUUCAUGUCUGCCGUGCUUGUAUGAAAAAUUUACACGUCCUCGCGCUUUCUCGUUGUGCCGCGGGUAGGUGGGGCUGUGGGGCUCGGAUCAUGCGGGACCCCGACACCCCUCCUCCUCCGCAGCCCUGAGCUGCUCGCUGAGCUGUCGGUACCGUUCCAAGCUGUCACUACUUCAGUCUUAUAAUUGCGUUCUCGGCCGCGGGUCGCCUAAGUGGCUUCAGGUCCAAGGAACGUUUGGACGGUCAUUCAUCUCGAAAUCUCUGUGUUAUAAAAAAAAUCGCUAAACACCCAAGGCUUCCAAUGUUUUCGAGAGGCAAAGUUAGCGUCGAUUGUGAUUCACAGAAUAUUUGUACUGUAUGUAUUUCCUUCUAAUGUCCGUGUUCUUGCCGAGCGGAUUUUUAGUCUGAGCAAUAGUUUAAGGGGGGUCAGGACAAAAAAAAAUGAUUUUCGGUUUUAUUUUUUAAAAAAUUAUCUGACUCUUCCUGAGUCUAUAGCUGUUUAGUUUGUAAAGAAAUUCUAAAAAUUGUGACCGUGGGAUUUUUUCUUGUGAAGAGUCAAACCUGAAAUUGCCCAUUAACGUCAACUUUAGAUGCGUUUUUCUCUGAACUUUACUUUUCAACCUUGCGCGCAGAGUUUCUCCUACACCCUUAAUGCCACAGCUAUGAAACUUUGCAGGCUUCAUUUUUACAGUAUUUUCAACAACUUGUCACAGGAUUUUUUCGAAAUUCCUACCCAUUGAUUUUUUAAAAAAUGUUAUAGGGGUGAAAACGGCAUGAUUUUGGUCAUGAAACUUAAAUUUGUCAUUAAAAAUCAGCAAGUGAGAAUAUCAAGAAAAUCCUGUGACAAGUUUUAGGUAUUCAUAUGGCUAACUUACAGGAAAAGUUUCAGCGUUGUAGUGCAAACCAUAACCGAGAAACCUUGCGCGCAAGAUUUUUAACCGUUAUGUAACACUUUACUAGAAUUGUCGUUCAGGGUGACUCUUGAGAGUUAGGAUACUUUUUGAGCCUGGAAAAUGGUCACAAUAGACCAAUAGUUAAAUGCUUUACCCUGUCGACAGUCCCACACUCACCAUAUCCCUACAGGACACAUGGUUUUAGAGCCCUAGAAUUGACAAAAUUUUGUCCUGACCCCCCUUAAAAGUAUAGCAUCAAAUAAUCAUAGCCAACCCAUCCACUGUAAUACCGUAAGAAUUUACGGUUUGCCUACGGUCCGUACCGUAUUUUCAGCGCUCGGUCAGGCUGUAACAGUGUGAACUGUACUUUCUUGUUUAGGCUAAGAGCUGUAUUAAUACAGCGAUGAUAAUACAAGUCGAAUUCGACUUCCCCAACAUUUUUCCAAGUUACGGUCUGUUCUAUAUGCCACGGACCGUACCCAAAUAUUACGGUGCCGGACCAGGCAACAAAUUUACAGCGCAAAUGCUUUAUCUGCAAAGUUUCAAAUGUUAGGUGUUCUUGUAGUCUACGGAACAAUGCUUUUUGGGCGCUUCAAAUACUUCACAUGUUAUAAUUUUGGGUUGAAAUUGUUUUCAUUAGAUUUCUCUUAAAGAUGUGUCUCCCCCUUCCAUUUAGCAGUCUACAGUAUUGGCUCUGCAUCGGGUUCGCUCGUGUUCACUCGUGUUCGCCGUGCCGAGGUGUCCUAACGCGUAGCUGUCAUUACAACGCGCUCCGCUCCAGUUUUGCUCUCGUGCCAUUUUUUUUUGUGCCGGCCGGAAGGUCUUGUCCCGUUAUGCAUGUCCGUCACGUUGCCAUGGUUACCGCUCUGCUCCGGUCCUCCCGCUCGAUGCAGCCCUUUUUCCGGUCCGGCAUCAUUCGGACGCGACCCGGAAAGACAUUUAGCUUUCGACGUGUUGUUACAUUAUGUCAGGUUAAUUGCUGCCUAGUAGGCUUCAGAACUGGAAAAAGCAGCUGCUGCAGUUUUAAAUAUUGAGGUCAAGCAUCAGCUCUAUCAAUGCCGAUAUAAUUUUAAUUUAAUGUCGUCAACCGUCCGUAAGUUACAACUCUGUUGCCCCGUUAUCGUGAGGCAUCAUAUUAAUUAUUUUUGUUCACGAACUCUGCAGCGUUGUUGUGUCCCGCUGCUGUACAGUUCAUGAACAAAUAAAUUUAGCGACUAUACAUUUGUGUUUCUUAUUAGAGCUUCGUCAUAUUAUAUUUCUCUCGGAUACUAGUCUGUUUCAAGGAGAAGUUAUUUCAAUAAAACGCCGCCCGACAUUUUAAAGCCGCUUACCUGUCGGGCUAUCAAAAGUACACAGUUUUGAUUAACAAGUAAAUUAUAAACAUUAACGUUUUUAUCUGUCCUCUUCUCAUUCUUUUUUGUUUGAUUGUUUUGUAUCGGUCGCCAUGUGCUUGAGGGGAACGACCUUUGGUGUCUCCGCUAUCUGUGUGAGUCAGCCGUAGUCUUGCCAAUCAGUCAAGGUCAAGCUGUCCUGCCGGGCCUACCGGGCCUGCAGGCCGGUGCACACACACACACACGCGCGCGCGCGCGCGCGCGCGCGCGGCACCCAAACAGACCGCCCCCGCGUGCCGUCGUGCCGCACGGCCGCGUCCCGCCUCGGCGGGCACGGGGGGGAGCCGAGCGCGACCCGAAGCUCGCCGGUCGCCCGGCCGAGCCCAGGCGAGCGAGGCGAGGCGAGUCUGCCGGCUGCCUGAGCCAGUCGUUCGCCUGACAUCCCGGCGCCCGCAUCGCGUGUGUCCGCCGCGCGUCGUCCGUGCGUCUCCGUCCCCGGCCAGGGAAGACCACGCCCCGGCCGCGCUCUCGUGUGACUGUGUGUUGUGGUGUGCCGACUAUCUUGCGAGUGAACGUUCAUUGUGUGGAUUUUGCCUCUGUUGGAUUACGCCGCGCCCCUCUCUGCCAGGUGCUCCAGAGGGACGUGGAGUCACACGGCAAGAUCGUGUCAUCGGUGGUCAAGCUCUGCGAGCGAGCGUGCCUCCAGCAACAGCAGCCGGGUCAGCAGGAGCAGCCGGGGCAGCCGGGGCAGCCGGGGCAGCCGGAGCAGGACCAGGGC